GAAAACUCCAGGUUUGACUGAAGCUGAGUUUAUAUGAAAAAAAGUGUUUUAUCAAACGUAAAUAACCCAACGAGAUUUAAAUUAACUCUUCUAAUAAUGAAAUACGGUUUAUUAAAUUUGACAUUUUCACAAUAUCAUGGUAGACGCCAUCUGUAAGUACUCUUCUAAUAAAAGACAGAUUCGGUGCCAAUUAUUCUCGUUGUUUAUUGUUUCAAACCGAUAAGCCCCGAAGGUCUCGUGACGUCACACAGUCUGUUUGGUACUGAAGCAGUGUGGAUAAACAUAUCAUUAAAAUAUUUUUUUACUUCGCUAUAAUUAAACACGAUUCGCUGAAUAUUUCAAUAAAGAUGCCGUCUUGCCAAGCAUUUAAUUGUACUAACGAAAAGGGGAAGUGUACAAAAAGUUUUUUCGUUAUCCCUGAUCCUUCAAAAAGUGCAGAUAAAAAAAAACUUUGCAAACAAUGGAUCUCGAACUUGAAAAAUGGUAAACUGCAAAUAGAAAAUUUUAAAUAUAACAGUAGCAAGGUUGUUUGUGAAGACCAUUUCACGCCCGAUUCAUUCGAGAGAAACCUGGUCAAAGAAUCUUUGAACUUCUUACCAAAAAGAAAAUAUUUGCGACAAAAUGCAGUACCGACAAUUGUCAACACAGGAAUGGACACCAGAAAAACACAGGAACGAUCGACCAAUUCUACACAAAAACGUCGAAGUGCACAGGUUAAAGAAGAGAUUAAGUUGUCAAUUAAAAAAAGAAAAGCGGCAACAUGUUCUACACCAUCAGUCAGUUCAGAGACUUUGACCUUACAUGAUCAGGUCGAGGAAGAGACCAAGCUGUCUAUUGAAAAACCAAAAGCGGCAACAUGUUCUACACCUUCAGUCAGUUCAUCUGUAACGCCCACAACUCACGACGUAUUUAUUACAGACGAACGUUCACCUAAUCUGACCCAGUCAAUGGGAUAUUUUAGCGCGCCAAUCAAUGGUCUCGUCUACACUGUUUUGCACAUGAUUCUAUUGUGUCUAACAGCUAGUAUAAAAUGGAAAACAGUAACUAAGAAUUACGAUACUCUUAUUAUAAAUAUAUAAACAUUACAAAGAAUUCUAUAGUAAAUAUCUCUUUUCAAGAUAAUGGAAAACCAAUCUUUCUGAAAGGUGUUGGUGUUUGUGUUUGUUUCUUAGAGACGAAGUAAUAAAUAGAUACCCCU